ACUCCUACGGGAGGCAGCAGUGGGGAAUAUUGGACAAUGGGCGAAAGCCUGAUCCAGCCAUGCCGCGUGUGUGAAGAAGGUCUUCGGAUUGUAAAGCACUUUAAGUUGGGAGGAAGGGCGAGUAAGUUAAUACCUUGCUGUUUUGUACGUUACCAACAGAAUAAGCACCGGCUAACUUCGUGCCAGCAGCCGCGGUAAUACGAAGGGGUGCAAGCGUUAAUCGGAAUUACUGGGCGUAAAGCGCGCGUAGGUGGUUCAGCAAGUUGGAUGUGAAAUCCCCGGGGCUCAACCUGGGAACUGCAUCCAAAACUACUGAGCUAGAGUACGGUAGAGGGUGGUGGAAUUUCCUGUGUAGCGGUGAAAUGCGUAGAUAUAGGAAGGAACACCAGUGGCGAAGGCGACCACCUGGACUGAUACUGACACUGAGGUGCGAAAGCGUGGGGAGC
rnacentral:rRNA from 1 species